AGUGUUAUAAGAAACUUAACUCUGAAAUAGAAGGGACAUCUGGGCACAUCUUCCUCUUCGUUUUGUGCUAGCAAGCUUGGGUGCAUUUCAUAACGGGAUAUUAAACCUCUACAGGCAUCUUUUUGGCGUUAGUUUAGCAAAGACCUCCCUGAUAGUUCAUAGUUUGUGAGCAGAAUUAGAUCCAUCCAAUUAUGUCUUUCUAGGCCAAAACAUUCAUAGUUUAACCCUGUUUCCAUUGAAAAAAAGCAGUUUUUUGGUUUUAAUGAGAACAGAGUCAAGCCCUGAAUUUGCAUAGAGGCAAUAUUUAAACAGUAAUUCUUGGAAACUGCUGAUCACUACAGUAUUAAUAGCAAAGGGCAUGUGGUGACAAUGUGAUUUUUUUUUUUUUUUUUUUUUUUUUUUUACCACGAUGACUGCCAAAGGAAUUAAUCAUGAUUUACUGCUGACAUUAACGAAUUGCAAAACUUCAAGAUUCUCACCCACUCAUGUGAAGCAAUAUGCCUGGCUCCUGGGAUGAACAAGAAUUAGUCUAACACAGACUAGGAAUUCUCGUUGGUGCCAUUUACACCCUGCAUCUCAAGCUUAAUUGUAGGGAUACAAUUAAUGUCUAGACCAAGAAGAAGACGAUGACGACGCUUGCCCUCCGCCCAGUUGUCAUCGACUCUGCUGGUGACGGCGAUGAUAUCACCCUGAAAGGCAGGAGGACACGGUUACCAGCCGUCUCCUGGGGGAGAGGCGCGCAGCAGGCGUGAAGGCGGGUUCGCUCCGUCAUUUUGCUAAACAGCCUCAGCGCUGUGCCCCUAUAAAGCCCUCUGCUCAGCAAAGCGCUUGGUGCAAGCCUGGCUGAAUUAGGACCGUGGAUGUUAAUGUAAUGCAAAAUGCACAAAAAGCACGCGAGCUUUUAACUUGUUUGAAGGCUUUCAUCACACGGAGAACAUGCACAGAACUAAUAACGGAAAUGGCAUUUUUGCUAUGUACCAAGGAAAAAAUACUGUGCAAGUGUCUAGUUCAUCUCCUUCUUAGUCAGAAACUACAGCUGCAUCUUAGCUAUUUUAUUUUUCUUGUUCCCUGACCACCCCAUGUUCAGCUCUGACUCCUUGGAGACACCUGGCUGGCACCACAGCCUCCCUCUCAUGCCUCUUUCCAUCAGUGAGUGCUAGAAGAACGUCAAAG